CAACUGGCAACUUUUAUGAGAAUUUCUGCACAAACACAAAGUAUUCAUUUAUGUGUUACUGUAGAGGAUAACUGUGUCAUAGUUGAGCAGGAUCAAACUAGCUCAUAUCAGUUUGUUGCAAGCGAUGUAUCUUCUGCUUCUCAUUCUCAGGUUCCGACAAUGCCUAAUCAUCCUGCUGCUACUUCUGGUCUUUUUACUUCCACUGAGGUAUCUAGAACGUCUACAAUCA